UACAGAGGGUGCGAGCGUUAAUCGGAAUUACUGGGCGUAAAGCGUGCGUAGACGGUUAUGUAAGUCAGGUGUGAAAGCCCCGGGCUCAACCUGGGAAUUGCAUUUGAGACUGCAUAGCUAGGGUGCGGAAGAGGGAAGCGGAAUUUCCGGUGUAGCGGUGAAAUGCGUAGAUAUCGGAAGGAACAUCAGUGGCGAAAGCGGCCUCCUGGUCCAGCACCGACGUUCAGGCACGAAAGCGUGGGGAGCAAACAGG
rnacentral:rRNA from 1 species